rnacentral:tRNA from 1 species
ACGGCAGUAGACGCGCGGGACACCGUGCCAUCAGUCUUCCAAACUGAUUACGCGGGUUCGAUUCCCGUCAUCCGCU